UACGUAGGCAGCGAGCGUUGUUCGGAAUUACUGGGCGUAAAGAGUGUGUAGGCGGUGCUCUAAGUUCGGUGUGAAAUCUCCUGGCUCAACUGGGAGGGUGCGCCGGAAACUGGAGUGCUUGAGCGUGGGAGAGGAAAGCGGAAUUCCUGGUGUAGCGGUGAAAUGCGCAGAUAUCAGGAGGAACACCGAUGGCGAAGGCAGGUCACUGGGCCGCAACUGACGCUGAGGAGCGAAAGCAUGGGGAGCGAACAGG
rnacentral:rRNA from 1 species